GCGAGGGUAGCGAAGUCUGGUCAAACGCGCAGGACUUAAGAUCCUGUUCCUUAGUGGAUCCGAGGGUUCGAAUCCCUUCCCUCGCA
rnacentral:tRNA from 1 species